UCCUCAGUAGCUCAGUGGUAGAGCUAUCGGCUGUUAACCGAUCGGUCGUAGGUUCGAAUCCUACUUGGGGAG
rnacentral:tRNA from 1 species